rnacentral:tRNA from 1 species
AGCAGAGUGGCGCAGUGGAAGCGUACUGAGCCCAUAACCCAGAGGUCCUUGGAUCAAAAUCGCGCUCUGCUA